AGUGAACGCUGGCGGUAGGCCUAACACAUGCAAGUCGAACGGCAGCACAGGAGAGCUUGCUCUCUGGGUGGCGAGUGGCGGACGGGUGAGGAAUACAUCGGAAUCUACUCUGUCGUGGGGGAUAACGUAGGGAAACUUACGCUAAUACCGCAUACGACCUACGGGUGAAAGAAGGGGACAAUCGGGCCUUGCGCGAUUGAAUGAGCCGAUGUCGGAAUAGCCAGUUGGCGGGGUAAAGGCCCACCAAGGCGACGAUCCGUAGCUGGUCUGAGAGGAUGAUCAGCCACACAGGAACUGAGACACUGUCCAUACUCCUACGGGAGGCAGCAUUCGGGAAUAUUGAUCAAUGGGCGCAAGCCUGAUCCAGCCAUACCGCGUGGGUGAAGAAGGCCUUCGGGUUGUAAAGCCCUUUUGUUGGUAAAGAAAUCCAGCUGGCUAAUACCCGGUUGGGAUGACGGUACCCAAAGAAUAAGCACCGGCUAACUUCGUGCCAGCAGCCGCCGUAA
rnacentral:rRNA from 1 species